UACAGAGGGUGCGAGCGUUAAUCGGAAUUACUGGGCGUAAAGCGUGCGUAGACGGUCAUGUAAGUCGGGUGUGAAAGCCCCGGGCUCAACCUGGGAAUUGCAUUCGAGACUGCAUGGCUAGGGUGCGGAAGAGGGAAGCGGAAUUUCCGGUGUAGCGGUGAAAUGCGUAGAUAUCGGAAGGAACACCAGUGGCGGAAAGCGGCUUCCUGGUCCAGCACCGACGUUCAGGCACGAAAGCGUGGGGAGCAAACAGG
rnacentral:rRNA from 1 species